GGGGCUGUACCGGUUUCGACGGGGGCGUGGAGGCGGGGAUAGCGGGCGGAGGUUUCCGUCACCUCCUUAAACAGCGGAAAUUAUAAAUUAAACAACAACAGCAAAGCUGUUCCGGUAGCCGCCUAAGGCUGCCCGUCCUCGCCGGAAGGUCCACGAGCCGGAUGAGGGCGUCGCUUAGUGGAGAACGUGCGUGCGCAAAGCUUUGAGCGCACCAUGAACAAUGAAGCUACCAAACUGUGACGCGUGACGGUUUGCGUCACAGGGCGGGAAUGGGGCUCGUCCCGAAAUAACCGUCUGCGCCCGGAGAAGUCCGCGUCAAAGCGCUUUCGGACGGGGGUUCAACUCCCCCCAGCUCCACUC
rnacentral:tmRNA from 1 species